UACGUAGGUGGCAAGCGUUGUCCGGAUUUACUGGGCGUAAAGAGCGCGCAGGCGGUCGUUCAAGUCGCGUGUGAAAGCCCCCGGCUCAACUGGGGAGGGUCACGCGAUACUGAUCGACUCGAAGGCAGGAGAGGGUAGUGGAAUUCCGAGUGUAGAGGUGAAAUUCGUAGAUAUUCGGAAGAACACCAGUGGCGAAGGCGACUUACUGGACGAUUGUUGACGCUGAGGUGCGAAAGCGUGGGGAGCAAACAGG
rnacentral:rRNA from 1 species